CUGACCUUAGCUCAGUUCGUAGAGCGGAGGACUGUAGUUUGAUUAAUCUAAAUUGGAAAUCCUUAGGUCACUGGUUUGAAUCCGGCAGGUCGGA
rnacentral:tRNA from 1 species